rnacentral:lncRNA from 1 species
AGUUUUGCUCUUGUCGCCCGGGCUGGAGUGCAAUGGUGUGAUGUUGGCUCACUGCAACCUCUGCCUCUCAUGUUCAAGUGAUUCUCCUGCCUCAGCCUCCCGAGUAGCUGGGACUACAGGGGCCUGCCACCAUGCCCAGCUAAUUUUUGUAUUUUUAGUAGAGACAAGGUUUCACCAUCUUGGCCAGGCUGGUCUUGAACUCCUGACCUUGUGAUCCACCCACCUUAGCCUCCCAAAGUACUGGGAUAGAGACAGGGUUUCACCAUUUUGGCCAGGCUGGUUUUGAACUCCUGACCUUGUGACCCACCCACCUCAGCCUCCCAAAGUACUGGGAUUACAGGCUGAGGCAGGCGGACCACCUGAGGUCGGGAGUUUGAGACCAGCCUGACCAAUAUGGAGAGACCUCGUCUCUACUAAAAAAAAAGUACAAAAUUAGCCGGACGUGGUGGGGGGCGCCUGUAAUCCCACCUACUCAGGAGGCUGAGGCAGAAGAAUUGCUUGAACCCAGGAGGCAGAGGUUGCGGUGAGUCAAGAUUGCGCCAUUGCACUCCAGCCUGGGCAAAAAGAGUGAAACUACGUAUCAAAAAAAUAAAAAAAAAUUCAAUUAAAAAAAAAAAAAAGGCCGAGCACAGUGGCUUACACCUAUAAUCCCAGCUCUAUGAGACACUGAGGCAGGAGAAUUGCCUGAGCCCAGUAGCUCGAGACCUAAUCUCUACUAAAAAAACAAAAAAAAAGUAGUAGGUGAUCUAAAAUUUUGGCUUAUUCAUAUUAAAAACUUCAUAAAAAUGCAAAAGAGGCUGGGCGUGGUGGCUCACGCCUGUAAUCCCAGCCCUUUGGGAGGCUGAGGCAGGCGUAUCACCUGAGGUCCGGAGUUCAAGACAAGCCUGACCAAUAUGGAGAAACCCCAUCUCUACUAAAAAAUAUACAAAAUUAGCCAGGUGUGGUGGCUCAUGCCUGUAAUCCCAGCUACUCAGGAGGCUGAGGCAGGAGAAUCGCUUGAACCCGGGAGGCAGAGGUUGUGGUGAGCCGAGAUCGCGCCAUUGCACUCCAGCCUCGGCAACAAGAGUGAAACUCCGUAUCAAAAAAAAAAAACAAACAGGCCGGGCGUGGUGGCUCACGCCUGUAAUCCCAGCAGUUUGGGAGGCCGAGGUGGGCGGAUCACGAGGUCAGGAGAUUGAGACCAUCCUGGCUAACACAGUGAAACCCCGUCUCUACUAAAAAUACAAAAAAUUAGCCAGGCGUGGUGGCGGGCGCCUGUAGUCCCAGCUACUCGGGAGUCUGAGGCAGGAGAAUGGUGUGAACCUGGGAGGCGGAGCUUGCAGUGAGCCCAGAUUGCGCCACUGCACUCCAGCUUGGGGGAGAGAGCGAGACUCCAUCUCAAAAAAAAAGAAAAGAAAAGAAAAAGAAAACACAAGUGUCUGGGGCUCAGACCACAGUUCUUCAAACUUCUUGUAGCUGAGCUUUUAUCAUAGCUUUUAUCAACACACGUGUGCGCACGCACACACACACUCACACAUGUUCCUCAGUCAGAAUGUGGUAAACCCAGGCUGAAAAACAAAAACAUGCUGAAGAUUUCACAGCCAAAGGAAACAUGUAUCUAGACAGACCAUUUUGGCAUGGACUUAUCAGAACUUGGAAGAAAUUCAGCAGGAAUGUUUCAGGAAUACCAGGGUGGACCGAGGGUUUUUGAAGCGGCAGCACAAAUGCCCCAGGAAAGACGCCUCUGGAAAUAAUCCUAACCCAAACAAACCACGGUUAUCCAGGCGGCCAUUUGUGCUUUCCACACUGCCUUUUCUUUUCCCUCCAAGUCUCUCUCCCUCCCUGUUUUAACCUUGAAUCCCCGUAAAGACUGACACAUGCUGAGCUUUACUUUCCCUCAAGGAUUCAUGGUGCUGCUGUGUGUCUGUCCGUCUAUCCGUGCAGCCUCAGGGGGCGCUGAGGCGUGUGGGUUGGUUGGGCCAUUUGUCACAUGGCCCCGUGGUAGCUGUACUUUCUGACUUCUGUUUGGUCUUUCUAGUUCUUUUUUCCCUGUAGCAGACCCUCUUCCUGCUUCUGGUCUAUUCUUCCCAAUUUCAGAUGGGCUUAAAAACCCGAUACCCAUGUUAAUAGGUCUAGAAUUAAAUUAAAGGUAAAUUCUCAGAGCCAGGGCUGACACACUAGGAGGACCUCCUCUUCGUGGUCUGUGUCCUUAGCUGGAGGAGCCGGGGACCAUGAUCUCUGAGGCUCCUCGAGACUCUGACCGUGGUACGAGGUGGGUAUGGCUGCCCGGGGCCUGCUGUGCUGAGCUCUCUCUCUGUCCUCACUGGCCCGAAGACCAGCAGUUUUCCAGCAGCGCCUGUGGGGCCCUGGCCUUGCAGAGGUGCCUCAGGGCCCCUGUGGAAGGGGCAGUUUCAUGGGACCAGUUUUGCUGUUACUUGUUGAACACAUCUGGCUUAUGUACAAGAUUUUAUUUAAGGCUGGACAGCUGGGAGUGUUUUUUGUAUUUUGUACACACACCUGUAGUCCCAGGUACUCAGGAGGAUGAGGUAAGAGGAUCACUUGAGCCCAGGAGGUUGAGGUUACAGUGAACUGAGAUUGUGUCACUGCACUCCAGCGUGGGUGACGGAACAAGAGCCUAACUCAAAAAAAUUUUUUUUUAAUUUGAAGAAUGGGUCCCACUGCUAAAAAACAUUUGGAAACUUCUGGCCCAGCAGAGCAGGGCUCCAGACAGAAACAGGCUCCACUGCUGCUCUCUUCUGGCCUGUCAGAGGCCUCUCCCUCUCCGUGGUGGGUCCUUCUGCACUGACUCCAGUUACUGCUGGGCCUCUACAUCUGGUCUGAGGUGUGACCUCAGAAUCCAGCAAGAAGCUGCAUCUGCUAAUUGUAGGGGGUGCGCUAAAGAAAACGCUCAGAAGCAGGUUUCCUGGGUGCCUGUCACAUUCUGUCCUUCCUGAGCAGGGGCUGGUGGAGCCAACUGGCCACUCUUCCUGUCUACCCUCCAGACCUUGUCACUGAUACCAGCCCAACGACUGCGCCAUGGCUAGCACCAGGACUCAAAUAUUGCUGUGAGACAAGAAGAGCAGAAGCUGGACCCAGUGGCACACACCCUGGUCUCUGAUAGCUCAUCGCCCUGCUCUGUGGCUGACUCUACAGACAGGCUCGGGGAAGCACCUUCUGGAUGAGUGCAGCCCAGAGGGAGAGGUCCCUAAAGAUGAUCUCUGGGCUCUGCUCCUCUAGGGUCAUGGCAAGCAUCGCGAGGGGCUCCCCUUCCUGCCGCUCAUGGUUUUACUGGGGGCACACGCAGGGCAGGCUGGGACAAGCUUCCCUAGGUCGUUGUUUAAACUACUGGGUCAUAAGUUGUUAAAGCACGAUGAGGGGACUGCUGCAGGACCCAGGGCACCCCGUUAGAACCCUGUGGUCUACUUCUAGGUAUCAUGGCCUUCCAGAAUGAGAGAAAAGACUUAGAGUUCAAUAUGGUGAAGAGGGGUAAUAGUUCCUAGAAGCAAGUUUUGAAGAAGAGAGCUCAAAAACAAUAGAUGUUUAAAUGGAGGUAUAGGAAAAAAAGGCAACAUGGAAAAAAUUAAAGGAAGUGGCAAAAAACAAUUUAGUUUCUCUCAAAGGGAGCUGGUUCCAUCCCACACCAUUAGACAGCAGUUUGGGGAGGUUUCAUACCUUCAUUUGCAGGCAGCAUAGUUGUGCUGACGGAACAACUUACAGUGUAACAGGCAGCCCCACCAGCACCUAAAUACCACUCAAAGAUGUUCAGAGGCUUAGAGGAAAAUAGUGGCUAUACUCUGAAGACUGUGAUACCAGAACCGUGGAGGUGAAGGGGAUGAGCUGCACCAUGGUGCUCAGCGCUGGGUAUGUGCAAGAGUCACCUGCAGGGCGCUGAAGAAGCCAGAAGCUUCUGGGCAGUGAUGAUAAUGAGCACACAAUUACUCUUUCACUCCCUUCUCAAGCACCACUACCAUGAGAGGGAAUGGGUUAAACAAAGAAAAACGGGGCGGGCGCAGUGGCUCGCGCCUGUAAUCCCAGCACUUUGGGAAGCCGAGGCAGACCGGAUCACCUGAGGCCAGGAGUUCGAGACCAGCCUGACUAACAUGGCGAAACCCUGUCUCUACCAAAAAUACAAAAAUUAGCCAGGCAUGGUGGCAUGCGCCUGUAAUCCCAGCUACUCGGGAGGCUGAGGCAGAGAAUUGCUUGAACACAGGAGGGGGAGGCUGCAGUGAGCUGAGAUCGGGCCACUGCACUCCAGCCUGGGUGACAAAGCAAGACUCCAUCUCAAAG